GACGAACGCUGGCGGCGUGCUUAACACAUGCAAGUCGAACGGAAAGGCCCUGCUUUUGUGGGGUGCUCGAGUGGCGAACGGGUGAGUAACACGCGAGUAACCUGCCCUUGAAUUUGGGAUAACUUCAGGAAACUGGGGCUAAUACCGGAUAGGAGCUCCUGAUGCAUGGUGGGGGUUGGAAAGAUUCGGCGGUUGGGGAUGGUCUGGAGGGUUAUGAGCUUGUUGGUGGGGUAGUGGCUUACCAAGGUUUUGACGGAUAGCCGGCCUGGGAGGGUGACCGGGCACAUGGGUACUGAGGGACGGCGCAGAAGCCUACGGGAGGCAGCAGUGGGGAGUAUGGCGCAAUGGGGGGAAGCCUGAUGCAGCAACGUCGCGUGCGGGAUAACCGCUUUCGGGUUAUAAACCGAUUUCGCCUGUGACGAAGCGUGAGUGACGGUAAUGGGUAAAAAAGCACCGGCUAACUACGUG
rnacentral:rRNA from 1 species